GAUGAACGCUGGCGGCGUGCCUAAUACAUGCAAGUCGAGCGAACAGACGAGGAGCUUGCUCCUCUGACGUUAGCGGCGGACGGGUGAGUAACACGUGGAUAACCUACCUAUAAGACUGGGAUAACUUCGGGAAACCGGAGCUAAUACCGGAUAACAUGUUGAACCGCAUGGUUCAACAGUGAAAGACGGUUUUGCUGUCACUUAUAGAUGGAUCCGCGCCGCAUUAGCUAGUUGGUAAGGUAACGGCUUACCAAGGCAACGAUGCGUAGCCGACCUGAGAGGGUGCUCGGCCACACUGGAACUGAGACACGGUCCAGACUCCUACGGGAGGCAGCAGUAGGGAAUCUUCCGCAAUGGGCGAAAGCCUGACGGAGCAACGCCGCGUGAGUGAAGAAGGUCUUCGGAUCGUAAAACUCUGUUAUUAGGGAAGAACAAAUGUGUAAGUAACUAUGCACGUCUUGACGGUACCUAAUCAGAAAGCCACGGCUAACUACGU
rnacentral:rRNA from 1 species